rnacentral:rRNA from 1 species
UGAAUACGAGAUGCUACGGCGUCGAAGCAGUCUAUGUCAUACUUCCAAGAAAAGCUUGCACUGUCAUAAACAAAUAAUGCCUGUACCAUAACCGACACAGGUGGGUAGGUAGAGUAUACUAAGGGGCGCGAGAUAACUCUCUCUAAGGAACUCGGCAAAAUGACUCCGUAACUUCGGGAGAAGGAGUGCCUUAUUUAUAAGGUUGCAAUAACAAGAUCCAAGCAACUGUUUACCAAAAACACAGGUCUCCGCUAAGUCGUAAGACGAUGUAUGGGGGCUGACGCCUGCCCAGUGCCAGAAGGUUAAGGAAGUUGGUUAGCAUCCGCGAAGCUGAUAACUGAAGCCCUGGUGAACGGCGGCCGUAACGAUAACGGUCCUAAGGUAGCGAAAUUCCUUGUCGGGUAAGCUCCAACCCGCACGAAAGGCGUAAUGAUUUGGAUACUGUCUCGGAGAGGGGCUCGGUGAAAUAGACUUGUCUGUGAAGAUGCGGACUACCUGCACCAGGACAGAAAGACCCUAUGAAGCUUUACUGUAACCUGAAAUUGAAAUUGGACUUUACUUGCGCAGUAUAGGUGGGAGGCGUUGAGAAUAUUCUUGCGGGAUUAUUGGAGCCAUCAGUGAGAUACCACUCUUGUAAUGUUAGAUUUCUAACUUUGUAUCAUUAUCUGGUCAAAGAACAGUUUCAGGCGGGCAGUUUGACUGGGGCGGUCGCCUCCUAAACGGUAACGGAGGCGCACAAAGGUUUCCUCUGAACGGGUAGAAAUCGUAUCUAGAGUGUAAAGGCAUAAGGAAGCUUGACUGUGAGACCUACAAGUCGAGCAGGGACGAAAGUCGGUCUUAGUGAUCUGACGGUGCUGAGUGGAAAGGCCGUCACUCAACGGAUAAAAGUUACUCUAAGGAUAACAGGCUGAUCUCCCCCAAGAGUCACAUCGACGGGGAGGUUUGGCACCUCGAUGUCGGCUCAUCGCAUCCUGGGGCGGUAGUACGUCCCAAGGGUUGGGCUGUUCGCCCAUGAAAGCGGUACGCGAGCUGGGUUCAGAACGUCGUGAGACAGUUCGGCCCAUAUCCGGUGUAGGCGUUAGAAUAUUGAGAGGAGCCUUCUUUAGUACGAGAGGACCGAGAAGGACAUACCUCUGGUGUACCAGUUAUCGUGCCAACGGUAAACGCUGGGUAGCUAUGUGUGGAGUGGAUAACCGCUGAAAGCAUCUAAGUGGGAAGCCCACCUCAAGAUAAGUAUUCUCAC